rnacentral:rRNA from 1 species
AUUGAACGCUGGCGGCAGGCCUAACACAUGCAAGUCGAACGAGUGGCGGACGGGUGAGUAAUGUCUUGAAAACUGCCUGAUUGAGGGGGAUAACUACUGGGAACGGUAGCUAAUACCGCAUACCAUCAGAUGUGCCCAGAUGCGAUUAGCUUGGUGGUGGGGUAACGGCGCACCAAGGCGACGAUCCCUAGCUGGUCUGAGAGGAUGACCAGCCACAUUGGAACUGAGACACGGCCCAGAUCCCGACGGGAGGCAGCAGUGGGGAAUAUUGCACAAUGGGCGCAAGCCUGAUGGAGCCAUGCCGCGUGUAUGAAGAAGGCCUUCGGGUUGUAAAGUACUUUCAGCGGGGAGGCGUUACCCGCAGAAGAAGCACCGGCUAACUCCGUGCCAGCAGCCGCGGUAAUUC